UGGCUAUUGGAUAAUAUAUGACACAGGUAGUUUAUAUAAAGCCAUUGCAACCGAUGAAUUGUAGUUGUUUUGCAUGUGAUUUUGUGCUGACAUGUUACUGAGUGGCCUUUUUCAACUGAUUACAUUAGGCCCUUUGGAAGCUGAGUGUUAGAAAGAGAUAAAUCUCAAAUAUCAAACAAUCUUUGGAAGAAUCUAGUAGGCUCUCUGGUUAACAGAUGG
rnacentral:lncRNA from 1 species